rnacentral:rRNA from 1 species
UACGAAGGGGGCUAGCGUUGUUCGGAAUUACUGGGCGUAAAGGCGCGUAGGCGGCCUCGUCCGUCCGGCGUGAAAUGCCUGGGCUCAACCUAGGAAUUGCGCUCGAUACAGCGAGGCUAGAGUGUGGGAGAGGUUGGUGGAAUUCCCAGUGUAGAGGUGAAAUUCGUAGAUAUUGGGAAGGAACACCGGUGCGAAGGCGGCCAACUGGACCACAAC